GAUGAAGAACGCAGUGAAAUGCGAUACUUGGUGUGAAUUGCAGAAUCCCGUGAACCAUCGAGUCUUUGAACGCAAGUUGCGCCCGAAGCCAUUAGGCCGAGGGCACGCCUGCCUGGGCGUCACACGUCGUUGCCCCCCCCAUCUACUCCUUCGGGAUUGCGGGGGGCGGAUGAUGGCCUCCCGUGCGCCUCGCCGCGCGGUUGGCAUAAAUGCCAAGUCCUCGGCGACGCACGCCACGACAAUCGGUGGUUGCGAAACCUCGGUUGCCCGUCGUGUGCGGUCGUCGCGCAUCGAGGGCUCGAAAAAAUUGCCGAGUUCCGGCUCGGCUUUCAACGCGACCCCAGGUCAGGCGGGGUUACCCGCUGAAUUUAAGCAUAUCAAUAAGCGGAGGA
rnacentral:misc_RNA from 1 species